CCUGGAAGAAUGAAAAAAAUGAAUGCAAGUCAAUGGUGCUAAAACGCUAUUUUCUAAUUACCAUGACUUUCCAGUCAUGUCUGUGUGAGUGUUGGCUAAUUAUCUCAGAUUACUGGAUCGACGUCUACAACUGAUUUAAACUGAACCGCGUUCAAGAUGGCUGCCACAUGUGCACCGCCUGAUUCUAGGUAUCAGCUGGGCUGGGUUUCUGAACUAAAUCUAUGAUUUGGUGCAAUUAAAAGGUAAUAAAAUGAUAACAUGGCUUUAUUCUCCAUCUUACCCAGAAUGCAGUGCUUGUCCGUGGGAUGGACUGGACUUGGCAGGAGAGUCUGAAAUCAAACCAAAACAUUACAAGAAGACAGAAACUCAGACUGUGAGAGUGGGAUUGUCGUGUGGGAGGUCACCAACCCUGCAGGGUUUUCCUCGGGGAACAUUCGGCUCCACCUGCAGCUUCAACGCUGGUCGCUGCUCCAUCACCACCAACCCAGACCUGAUGACAAACACGAGGCUGAAUGAUGAGAUUUUCCUGCCAGGUCUGAUGUCCACUCGUUUAUCUAGUCUGACCCUCUCCCUGCUCCAGCUGAGCGACGUGACGGCAUGAGAGCCAGAAACACGACGAGAGGUUGAGACGCGACAGAACGGCCAUUAUUCCAUCAGAGGAAAAGAAGCGUCCCGAGUGGAGCUUAGAAGGCUGGUGAGCGAGGACAAACCUGUCCCCGGGAGGAGCUGCUGGCGUCUCUGUGGUCCUCCUGUUGGUCAGGGGGGUGAGGACAUCUGGUGUCUGCAGGCAGAGAGAGACAAACAAAAUAAUAAAUCAUUAAGAAAGCUAAACUAACAGAGGUACUAAAGUUCAGUAGGUGAACCUUAAGGAUCAUAAUCGUCUCUGAAGGGGAAACUGACGUCAUUUUAAUUCCAUAACCAGAGCUGUGUGUAGUCUUAUUUUAACUCUUUCAAGUCUAAAACAUCAAAUAUUUAAAAACAAACUUCCAUUUCUGUCCAUAAAGAAAAAAUAAAAUGUUCACUAUGAAGUUUAUCUAAGAAACCUUAAGGAUUUAAAAUGAAAAAUAUGUAAGUUUUAUUUAAGAAAAUCCCCUAAAUUGCCCGUGUUAUUUAUUUUUUCUUCGCUCUAAACUCUAAACACGACAGAAGCAGGAAGUCCCGUGUGGGUGGAGGCCAGCAGACCUGGUGGUGUUGCUGCAGCUCUGCUGGGGCUGUGCUGCUGAACGCCGAGCCUCUCUGAGCUGUUGCUGUUGUUGUUGUUGACCUGGAUGCCGUUCUGCUUCAUCAGCUGCAUUAACUCAGACUCCAGCACUGCGAUCUGCCAGAGAGGAACCGUCAGUGUUAAUGAGCAUUUACUCGUCCCAACACCUCCGAGAGGAGAGACAGAACGCUACCCUGACUUGCAGUCCGUGGAUCUCAGCCAGGUGAGCUUUCUCAGCCUCCUCCAGCCGCCUCCUCUCUGCAUCUUCCUUCUGGAUGAACUCCACCUCUCUGGAGAGAAAGGAGGGGGUGCAGAUGGCAACGUGUUGAAAACAUUUGAUAUAUAUGGAUGGUUUUAUGCUCGAACAAGACAGCAGCUGCCUCUCACUCAGCUGAGAAAACCAAGGAUGCUUAAAGACUUCAGGGUGACUGAUGAACAUCUAAAGAAGACAUCCUCUUCUGGAGCUCACUGCUCCACCACAAACUCCAGCUCUUUGUUCGAACUUCAAAGGAAAAGUAGCUGCUCUGCUUCCACCAGAAUAAAUCAAUGGUAUUAUAUGGUAAGUAGCGACUGAAAGCUAAACAGAACAAGCAUCCAAGACCAACAUCAAUAUUCAUUCUGCUGUCAUAAUAAAUCAGUUUUUGUAUUUGCUCAUAAAGACUGAUGAAGGGAUUUAAACAACGGCAGCAAGAUGGAUGACAGCAAUCUUAGAUUUGUAUAAAAUCAAGAGAUUAUUAAGCCCCUCUCAAGAUAAAAGUCACGAGGUGCUUCACAAGAACAGAAUAAAAAAACAUUAUUAAAAAAAAGAGAAAAGGAAAAAUGUAGAUUAAAAAAACGUGUAGAAAAAAAGUGAAAAAGAUCCUCACAGAUCCCGAAAAAGACAGAAUUGACAGAAACAGCAGCAUGAAAAGAAGCUAUAGUGUUAAAAAGCCAAAAGGCCAUGACUCACUUCUGCUGGAAGUCCUUGAUGAGCUUCUUGGCCUUGUUGUACUUCUUCUCCAGAGCCUGGUACUGGGCCUGGGCCUCCUUCAGAUGCUCGUUGACGGUGUGGCAGAGCGUCUGCGCCUCGAUCCAGUAACUCUCCAGCUUCAGCAUCCUCUCCUUGUUCUCCUCAAUGCUGGCCUUCAGCUGGCUCUUCUCCUUCUCCCAGCGCUGUUUCUCCUUCUCCACAGACGCCAGCUGCCAGGAAGCCAGAAACUCCCUCAUUACUCCACGUUUCAUCAGCAUUGCUCGUGAAUGAAGCGGAACUAACUUUAAAUAAAUCUCAAGCAGUCAUGACGUUGGAUCAUAUUCUUAACUAGGGAUGUAAGAAAAUAUCACUAUGGCAAUAUAUCGUGAUUUUUUCCCAGCAAUAUUAUAUCGAUAUUCAAAAGCCGUGUAUCGGAAAUAUCUAUAUGGCAAUAUAUCGUGAUUUUUUUCCUGUGAUUAUUACAUCGAUAUUCAAAAGCCGUGUAGCUAAUUCCGGAAAAAAUUUACAUGCAAACAUUUGUGUAUUUUCUUUUUGUUUUGCGCAAUUCAAUCGCCACCCGCUAGUUGGCCGCAGUGUUCAGCGGGUUUUGCUUCCACCACUGAAAUGUAAAUCCCUCCAUCAUGGUUCAGAUACCUCAUGUUAAACAUGUUACGUAUCAGUUUGGACUGUUUAUUGAACAUUCUUACAAUAAAUUCAGUAAAAAUAA